CAAAUUAUGUCCACUUGCAAACUGAGCAUUUGACCCAGCAUGGGGCCCAACGUACGGACCGACUUCAAACUUGUGUUGACCGAAUGGAUUAGAAUACCUAAUAUGUCGAUACACUUAAAGCACAAUAUAUGGCCACCAAUUUCCACCCGAAAAAACACCUCGUGGCACAGCCGAAAGAGGGCCAUUAGGAAGACCAGAGGCCAGCAACGAAAAGGAAAAAUCAGGAGCAGGCUGAUCUCCUGGAUGCGACGCCCGAGCCAUCGACUGCGAGCCAUCAUACUCACUAUUAUAGAGGUAAAAGUAGCGUUGGGCUAAAUGCCCAAACCUUCCGCAGGUCUGACACUGUAUGCGGGAUCGAAAGCCUCUCCCUCGGCCACCAAACGGAGGACAACCAACACGAAGAUAUCCUUCCAUCGCCUGUGACGAAGCGUUUUCUACAAGGUUGACAUGAAGAGCCACAUCCUGAACCGUACGCACCUGGCGACUCUCAUACUCGAGUAACACGUCGAUUAGAGGCAGUGGUUCCGACGAAAACGAGGCUAAGAUAAUAAUGGCGUCGAAUUACAGUGAGAGAUUACCUUUCUUCAGUGAGUGGAGAUCGAUGCGGAGGCGAGAUAGCUUCACACCGGUGGUGGCAACAAAGAGUCGAGUGGCUGUUUUCCACACAUCACAUGUCGUUCGAGCCUCUGUAAAAGAAGAUAAGAGGGAGGGAUUAAUGGUAGAAAGCAACUAAGAGGCAAGUAACCUGUCCUGUUGAACAAACGCGGAGGCAUCCGGAUUUGGAACUAAAGUGCCCUCCGGAGACUGCACAAAACGCAACGGAAUAGGUAACGUGCCAUCCAAAAAUCCGGUUAACUCGUAUCUUUCGAUAAUCAACCUAACAUGCUGUUGCUAUUGAACGAACGUGCCAUCAUUGAGCUUGACAGUCUCAUAACGAGGGAAAGUCUGGACAAGCCGAGCACCAAUGAAGGCCGGACAGCCAUGCUCAACGGAGGCAGAGUCAGCAGCCGCGUUGGUGGUCAUGGAAACAGGUCUCCAGUACAUUAGGCGACUGAUACCAUGUUGAAAGCUACGAUGAAUUAAGAAUUUGUUGUAAAUUAAAAGAAUAAAACUAUACUGAAAACUGAAUAGAAAGAAAACUAUACUGAAUAUUGAAAAGAGUAUUUCUGUAUUUGGACUUCUAAUCUACCUUUGUACAAUAUGACUAUAAUAUUUAUAGAA